rnacentral:rRNA from 1 species
UACGGAGGAUGCGAGCGUUAUCCGGAUUUAUUGGGUUUAAAGGGUGCGUAGGCGGGCUUUUAAGUCAGCGGUAAAAAUUCGGGGCUCAACCCCGUCCGGCCGUUGAGACUGGGGGUCUUGAGUGGGCGAGAAGAAGGCGGAAUGCGUGGUGUAGCGGUGAAAUGCAUAGAUAUCACGCAGAACCCCGAUUGCGAAGGCAGCCUUCCGGCGCCCUACUGACGCUGAGGCACGAAAGUGCGGGGAUCGAACAGG